AUUUAAGUAGUUUAAUAUAAAAUUUCGAUUUGUGGUGUCGAGGAUAUAAAUUGUUAUCUUAAAUC
rnacentral:tRNA from 1 species